rnacentral:lncRNA from 1 species
UCGAACCCACUUAUAACAUUAUUCAACUACCAAGAAAAUUUCAUUGCUAUAACUGAUAAUUGUUAUAAGUGAGGUGCAUGAAAAAAGCAAAAUAGGCGCAUAGCAGAGCUCUUGUGAGAAAACUAUAAUGGCGGCGAGGCCAGUGCCCCUACCCACCACCUCCCUCGAUCUGGCUACUGAUUGUGUUGACUCAUUUAACUCUUUAACUCUGCUUCCUGCUCUGAUCAUGUGU